UAAUAUCAGAACAUCAGACAUGUUAAUAUGUGUUGUAGUGGUUUAAUAAUAUCAGAACAUCGGACAUGUUAAUAUGUGUUGUAGUGGUUUAAUAAUAUCAGAACAUCAGACAUGUUAAUAUGUGUUGUAGUGGUUUAAUAAUAUCAGAAUAUCAGACAUGUUAAUAUGUGGAUGGGCAUUACUCUGGAUCAGAAGGUUGGGUUUUGGUUGGGGAGAUGGAUGGGCAUUACUCUGGAUCAGAAGGUUGGGUUUUGGUUGGGGAGGUGGAUGGGCAUUACUCUGGAUCAGAAGGUUGGGUUUUGGUUGGGGAGGUGGAUGGGCAUUACUCUGGAUCAGAAGGUUGGGUUUUGGUUGGGGAGGUGGAUGGGCAUUACUCUGGAUCAGAAGGUUGGGUUUUGGGUUGGGGAGAUGGAUGGGCAUUACUCUGGAUCAGAAGGUUGGGUUUUGGUUGGGGAGGUGGAUGGGCAUUACUCUGGAUCAGAAGGUUGGGUUUUGGUUGGGGAGGUGGAUGGGCAUUACUCUGGAUCAGAAGGUUGGGUUUUGUUGGGGAGGUGGAUGGGCAUUACUCUGGAUCAGAAGGUUGGGUUUUGGUUGGGGAGGUUGAUGGGCAUUACUCUGGAUCAGAAGGUUGGGUUUUGGUUGGGGAGGUGGAUGGGCAUUACUCUGGAUCAGAAGGUUGGGUGUCUGAUCCCAGUAUUUUUUAAUUUAUACUGAACAAAAAUAUAACGCAACAUGCAACAAUAUCAAAGAUUUUACUGAGUUACAGUUCAUAGAAGGAAAUCCAUCAGUUGAAAUAAAUAAAUGAGGUCCUAAUCUAUGGAUUUC
rnacentral:lncRNA from 1 species